GAGCUCACAAUAGCAGCAGAUAUACCAAAAUAGGAUUGAUACACAGAAGAUUAGCAUGGCUCCUAUGUAAGGAUGACAUGCAAUUUAUGAACUAUUUCAUAUUAUA